UACGUAGGGUGCAAGCGUUGUCCGGAAUUAUUGGGCGUAAAGAGCUCGUAGGCGGUCUGUCGCGUCUGCUGUGAAAACUCAGGGCUUAACCCUGAGCUUGCAGUGGGUACGGGCAGACUAGAGUGCGGUAGGGGAGAUUGGAAUUCCUGGUGUAGCGGUGAAAUGCGCAGAUAUCAGGAGGAACACCGGUGGCGAAGGCGGAUCUCUGGGCCAUAACUGACGCUGAGGAGCGAAAGCAUGGGGAGCGAACAGG
rnacentral:rRNA from 1 species